AGAGUUUGAUCCUGGCUCAGAAUCAACGCUGGCGGCGCGCCUAACACAUGCAAGUCGAACGAGAAAGCGGGGCAACUCGCAAGUAAAGUGGCGUACGGGUGAGUAACACGUGGAUAAUCUACCCUUUAGUGUGGAAUAACCCUGGGAAACCGGGGCUAAUACCGCAUAAUCCCGAGAGGGGAAAGCAGCAAUGCGCUGAAGGAGGAGUCCGCGGCCGAUUAGCUAGUUGGUAGGGUAAAAGCCUACCAAGGCAAAGAUCGGUAGCCGGCCUGAGAGGGCACACGGCCACACUGGCACUGAAACACGGGCCAGACUCCUACGGGAGGCAGCAGUGGGGAAUCUUGCACAAUGGGGGAAACCCUGAUGCAGCGACGCCGCGUGAGCGAUGAAGCCCUUCGGGGUGUAAAGCUCUUUCGGCAGGGAAGACUUUGACGGUACCUGCAGAAGCAGCUGCGGCUAACUACGUGCCAGCAGCCGCGGUAAUACGUAGGCAGCAAGCGUUGUUCGGAGUUACUGGGCGUAAAGGGUGCGUAGGCGGUUCCCUAAGUUUGGUGUGAAAUCUCCCGGCUUAACUGGGAGGGUGCGCCGAAAACUGGGGAGCUAGAGUGUGGGAGAGGUGAGUGGAAUUCCUGGUGUAGCGGUGAAAUGCGUAGAUAUCAGGAGGAACACCGGUGGUGUAGACGGCUCACUGGACCAUUACUGACGCUGAGGCACGAAAGCGUGGGUAGCAAACAGGAUUAGAUACCCUGGUAG
rnacentral:rRNA from 1 species